UUUUCGGUCCAGAAACGGAUAGAGCAUUUUGCAGCACUUUCUGUGCAUAGCUUUCGUCUGUUUAAAUUGAACGCGUCGGAUGUCUGUCGGUUUAGAUGUUUUGUCAUCGCCCAUGAGAACCGCGCGUGACACCCACACACACACAUACAUCCAGAAUACAACACGACUUACUAACAUAAAUUACGUUACAUGCAGACGACCAUACAGCCUACCUGAUGGAGAGAACAGAGCCAAGCCACCGCCUACCAUUAAGUACUCUCCGCAAGCCUCGUUUGAAGAAGGACAUGUCAAAGCUCUCGGAAAAAAAACACCGUGGAAGGAAGUUCAUUCCAAAACCGGAUGGUUCACACCGAUCGAGAAUGUUAAAACUUACCACGCCUUGUUAUUAAAUAGACAGUCGAUGAGUUCAAGAGCUUACCACAAUCAAUCGUAUGAUGACAAUUAUCACAUAAACAAAUUUCAAUUACAUCGGCUUGUCUUGGGUUUGGGACCUUUUGGGGCCAGAGGAUUGGGAUGCGGCCAUUGCUGCAUAGGAUGUGGACUGUUUCGGUUGCUUGUUGAAGUUGAAGUUGAGCAACAUUAGAUGGAUGGGAAUGGGUAGUCUCCAGGUCCACAUACCUCGUUGACUCGAGGUUGCCUGCCCUGCUGCUUAGAGCAGGGAUACCUCGAGGCCGAUCCGAAGGGAUGGGAGAGAUAGGAGGUGAAGGAGAACGAGAAGAGGCUCUCAAUUGCUUUGGGUUUCCGCCACUCUGGCGAGAGCACUAGGAUUAUUAUUAGCAAAUUCUCUCAGAAUAGCUCCUUAGGCUACCAAUGAAUGAGAAGAAUAAAAGAAAGCAGAUAUCCAACCUAUUUGCUUUAAGAUCUAAUGUAGCACAGGGUACGCCGAAUGCACUUGUAAAAAAAUAAAGUUUUUUUUUUAAUUUACAAUAAUAAAAACAAAUGUUGAAUUUUACUUUUUGCAAACGUUUUCCUGUACGUGAUAAUGUAACGUGUUGAACUGGAAGGUCGCAUAUUUACAUUACCAGUUGUAGUUCACAAGGUUUAACAUAAACAUUAAUUAAUCAUUGAAUAAUACUUAUUUUUACAAUUAACUAAUUGUAAUUUUUAAUUCGCAUCAAUUAUAUUUGUAUUGACCUUUAUUAAUUGCGUAUAUUCAACAGUAAUCUUGGAGACAAAGACGCGUAAGGCCCAUCUCGUGGUCAAUAUGCGAUGUGGCUAGUGGACAUCAGUAUUGUAUACCAUUGAAGGUAACGCAGGAGCUCAUAAACACGAGAUAUAUGCCAAUGCCCAAAUUGAGCAGAUCUAUGAUCUAUGGUCGUAGAUGAUUAGAUUAUACCUUGGUGCGAUUAAUUUUCGCUAGAAUUUGCUUAUGCUCAUGGCACUGCUGACGUACAUGGGACGAACACUCACCAUCAGGGCCGUAAGCUCAUCUACUAACAAAGUUUCACGCGUACGUCAGCUAACGGUUGCAAUAUCUACAAUCCGACUUUGAUUCGAAGUUAGUGGCUGCAUUCGUCUUGACCACUAAACAUCGGGCGAGCAAUGAACUCAGCAAAAUUUCAACAGAAAAGAAAACCAGACUUCAACAAAUCAAAAUGAGAAUAUCAUCGAUGUUCAUCGAAGUCAAUAAAAUUUGCAUUUGUAAGGUUAAUUGAAAAACCACUAAAUGGGAUCACUAAAUCGCUCCAUCUAGAAAAAAGUUCUAAGACGUAAUACACAUACUGGUGGUAGGACCUCUUGUGAGUCCGCGCGGGUAGGAACCACCACCCUGCCUAUUUCUGCCGUGAAGCAGUAAUGCGUUUCGGUUUGAAGGGUGGGGCAGCCGUUGUAACUAUACAUGAGACCUUGGAGCUUAUAUCUCAAGGUGGGUGGCGGCAUUUACAUUGUAGAUGUCUAUGGGCUCCAGUAACCAUUUAAUACCAGGUGGGCUGUGAGCUCGUCCACCCAUCCAAGCAAUAAAUA